rnacentral:rRNA from 1 species
CUACGGGCCGCUGCAGUAGGGAAUUUUCGUCAAUGGGGGAAACCCUGAACGAGCAAUGCCGCGUGAACGAAGAAGGUCUUCGGAUUGUAAAGUUCUUUUAUUGGAGAAGAACAGCAGAUAUAGGAAAUGAUAUUUGUAUGACGGUAUCCAUUGAAUAAGCCCCGGCUAACUACGUGCCAGCAGCCGCGGUAAUACGUAGGGGGCGAGCGUUAUCCGGAAUUAUUGGGCGUAAAGCGUGCGUAGGCGGUUUGUUAAGUCAUUUGUAAAAGAUCUCAGCCCAACUGAGUAAGGCGAAUGAAACUGGCAAACUUGAAUACGGUAGAGGUAAGUGGAAUUCCAUGUGUAGCGGUGGCAUGCGUAGAUAUAUGGAGGAACACCAAUGGCGAAGGCAACUUACUGGGCCGGAAUUGACGCUGAGGCACGAAAGCGUGGGGAGCAAACAGGAUUAGAUACCCCCGUAGUC